rnacentral:rRNA from 1 species
UUAGCACAAUGGGCGCAAGCCUGAUGCAGCCAUGCCGCGUGUAUGAAGAAGGCCUUCGGGUUGUAAAGUACUUUCAGCAGUGAGGAAGGUGGUAGUGUUAAUAGCACUAUCAUUUGACGUUAGCUGCAGAAGAAGCACCGGCUAACUCCGUGCCAGCAGCCGCGGUAAUACGGAGGGUGCGAGCGUUAAUCGGAAUUACUGGGCGUAAAGCGCAUGCAGGUGGUUUGUUAAGUCAGAUGUGAAAGCCCGGGGCUCAACCUCGGAAUUGCAUUUGAAACUGGCAGACUAGAGUACUGUAGAGGGGGUAGAAUUUCAGGUGUAGCGGUGAAAAUGCGUAGAGAUCUGAAGGAAUACCGGUGGCGAAGGCGGCCCCCUGGACAGAUACUGACACUCAGAUGCGAAAGCGUGGGGAGCAAACAGGAUUAGAUACCCUGGUAG